UAACAAAAUAGGUUUAUCCAAAAGUAAUUUGAAAUUAUUUUUUAUUGUUUAUAUAGCAAGUUUUGUUAA
rnacentral:tRNA from 1 species